AGCGAACGCUGGCGGCGUGCCUAACACAUGCAAGUCGAACGCGAAUGGGGGGGCAACCCCCCUAGUAGAGUGGCGCACGGGUGAGUAACGCGUGGGUAAUCUGCCCUCGAAUGGGGAAUAACCUCGCGAAAGCGGGGCUAAUACCGCAUAACAUCUUCUUCUCCUCGGAGAGGAAGAUCAAAGGUGACCUCUGCUUGCAAGUUGCCGUUUGAGGAGGAGCCCGCGUCCCAUUAGCUAGUUGGUAGGGUAACGGCCUACCAAGGCUACGAUGGGUAGCCGGCCUGAGAGGGUGACCGGCCACACUGGAACUGAGACACGGUCCAGACUCCUACGGGAGGCAGCAGUGAGGAAUAUUGCGCAAUGGGCGAAAGCCUGACGCAGCGACGCCGCGUGGAGGAUGAAGGCCUUCGGGUCGUAAACUCCUGUCGAGGGGGACGAAAUGAUGCUCUGUUAAUACCAGGGCGUCUUGACGGUACCCCUGGAGGAAGCCCCGGCUAACUCCGUGCCAGCCGCCGCGGUAAUAC
rnacentral:rRNA from 1 species